UCUAUUCCACAGAAUCAGCUGAACACGCUCCUGGCUGGGGCAGGUACCAACUCUAGAUAAGUACUUUAACACUGUAAAACAACAGUUCGUUUAAGUUUUGCCUGCUAAAGUCAAAAUAUCUGAAGGGAAAUACGGAAUGUACUGUCAACGAACUCGGUUAUAAAAUAUGGGGUUUUAACGUAGCUAUCUCCUGUAUUUGUGUGGAAGCAGAGCGACUGUGGCGGUAGAAGAAGUUCAUAUUUGACUGGAGGACGUGUUGAAUUAAACAUUUAGUGUAUGCCGAGUUGACUACUGGACUCUUCCAAGUGUUGACAUUUUACGUCUUUGUCUCUCAAGUCAGAGGAAGCUUAUCCACUCCACUCAAAAAAAUGCCAUCCAACAAAUCAGUGUCCGAUGCUCCCAUCAGUCAGUUCAUCAACUGCAGGAUAUUGAGAGACCACUGUCUGCAGAGAGAGGACCUGUGGGUGCGUGACGGAAAGAUUUUAGAUCCAGAGAAACUUUUCUUCGAUGAGCACGGUUACGCCGACAAGUGUGUGGACUGUGAAGGCAGCAUCAUCGCCCCGGGCUUUAUAGACGUUCAGAUCAAUGGAGGAUACGGGAUCGAUUUCUCUCAGGCCUGCGACGAUGCCGGCAGCGGAGUUUCUUUAGUGGCCAAAAAGAUCCUGGAGCAUGGCGUGACGUCCUUCUGCCCCACGCUGGUCACCUCGCCCCCCCACGUCUACCACAAGGUUUUGCCUCAGGUCAAAGUUCACGAUGGAGGAGCGCAUGGAGCUGGAGUUCUUGGAUUUCACCUGGAGGGCCCGUUCAUCAGCCUGGAGAAGAAAGGAGCUCACCCGGAGCAGUUUCUCAGGACCUUCAGUAGCGGCGGGUUCAGGGACCUGAUGGAAACCUACGGCGGCCUGGACAGCGUUGCCAUGGUGACACUGGCUCCGGAGCUGGACGGCAGCCAAUCGGUGAUCAGGGAUCUUUGCCAGAAGGGAAUCACGGUGUCAUUAGGUCACUCUGUGGCCAACAUGUCUCAGGCGGAGGAGGCCGUUCAACACGGAGCCUCCUUCAUCACCCACCUCUUCAAUGCCAUGCUGCCUUUCCACCACAGGGACCCUGGUAUCGUGGGUCUGCUGACCAGUGAUCAGGUCCCUGCAGGCCGGACGGUUUACUACGGCAUGAUCGCUGACGGGAUCCACACCAACCCUGCAGCGCUGAGGAUCGCACACAGAGCCCACCCCUCAGGUCUGGUGCUGGUGACGGAUGCGAUCACAGCGAUGGGGCUCCCCCCUGGUCGUCACACUCUGGGUCAGCAGGUCAUCGAGAUCCAGGGUCUCCAUGCCUACGUGGCAGGUCUCUACUUCCUAUCUUGGCACUAAGACACUCAGCGGCAGCAUAGCCACGAUGGAUAUGUGUGUGCGGCACUUUAAACAUGCUUCAGGCUGCAGUGUAGAGGAGGCUCUGGAAGCUGCCUCGCUGCAUCCCGCUCAACUCCUGGGUCUCAGCCACAGGAAGGGAAACCUGGACUUUGGGUCGGACGCAGACCUGGUUUUGCUCGAUGAGACCCUCAACGUCAAAGCCACAUUUAUUUCUGGGGAGGAGGUUUGGAGAAAAUGACCAUAGAAGAAGAAGAAGAAGAAGCUGGGACACCGUGGUGCCUUCAGGGAACGCUGUUAAACACACAACUAAAAUUCUGUUGAAUGUUUUAGUUCAUCAGAAAACAUUGUUCUUUAUCCUAGGCUGCUCUACACUAAAAACACGUCAGUUAUGACGUAAAGAUCAGGCGAUUAAUGUAAUGUCCUUAAAAGGCCACUGUACAGAAGAUAAACCUUUUUAAAUAUUGAUGAAUAGGACUUUUCUUAAAACCUCUAGAUAUAAAAAUAUAGAAGUUGUCUCUCCAUAUUUCCUCCAUUCAGAAAUGUUAUUCUGCCUGUGUUUGAGAGUAAUCAUUGCAGUUUUCUAUUAAAACUUUUUUUUCUAUUAAAGUAUCUUCAAUUCAAGUUUCAACAAUCAAA